GUUGGCACACACACACAGAAAACCACGAUGAAGGUUCCAAGACAUUAGAGGGAUAAUCAUCGGGGCUUGUUGUCUUGGUCUCCAGGGCUGACAGAACAGAACUCCACGGACUAGACAUCACACAAGCACCAGAGUCAACUUGCCCCCAUCCCUCUAGGAGAAGGGUGGGCAAGGAAGAUUGGAGGACAUGCAAGGGUCGUCUUGACAGAAGAGAUCUUGGAGACUACUCUGUCUUCCUGCUGUGUGAGGACCCAGCUCAGAGUCAAGCGUCUAAGCAAGCAUGGGUGUCAUCAGAACCCACCUGUGCAGUGUCUCUCACCUGGACUUCUCUUGUUUCCCAAGAACCCAACGUUAAUGGUCUUUGAUAGCAUCUCAAGUGAAGGUGAUAGAUGUGUACACUACAUGAUUGCGAAGACCCACAACAUGACAGCAUGCCAUCUGACCUGUCAACCUGUGCUGGAUACCUGAAGAGGUUUCUUCUCUUCACUGGCAGAGAUGUAGCAACACAUACGUGGAUCCUGAUCUUCAUUCUGGGUGCUUAAUGAUUCUGGUUAUGAAGAACGAGGUGCCAAGACAUGGCGGACAUCAUUGCAGGGGAGACCGCCGAGGGCCUCUCCCAGCAGGGAUUGAGAAGGGUGACUUCACCCACAUUUGAAACAGCGGGAGUCAACACUGGGGUCGUCCCUUGCACGUCACCAUGGGGUUCUUUUUCCAGUGGGAGAGUGGCGAGCAUCACUUUCACCACAAGUUUCCACUUGGUGUUCCUGCUGCUGAGGAGUUUCAGGACACGGGCAACU